GGGGCGAGAAUACCCGGCGAAUUUAAGCAUAUUACUAACCGGAGGAAAAGAAACCAACAGGGACGUCCUCAGUAGCGGCGAGCGAAGCGGACGAUGCCCAAACCGAACCGCGGUUCCCGAGGGGGCCGCGGAGUGUGGAGAGGAUGAGCUCGCGAGGGGGCGGGACGGGUUCCAAUCCGUCUGGAAGGGCGGAGGCACGGAGGGCGAUUCCCCGUACGUGCUCGGUCCGUCCCCGACGAGCGAACGCAUCGGAGAGUCGGGGCCGCUUUGAGAGUUGCAGCCCCGAAUGGGGUGAUAGGUCUCAUCCAAGGCUAAGUACGUGGGAGACGCCGAUAGCGAACAAGUACGGCGACGGAAAGGUGAAAAGAACCUCGAAAGGGGGUCAAAAGCGCUCGAAAUCGUAGAGGGGGAAAGCGGACCUGACCGACGAGACCUCGUCCGUCGCUCGCGCUCGACCCACCGGCUUCGUCGCGG
rnacentral:rRNA from 1 species